UACAGAGGUCCUGAGCGUUGUUCGGAUUCACUGGGCGUAAAGGGUGCGUAGGCGGUGCGGCAAGUUGGGAGUGAAAUCUCUGGGCUUAACCCAGAGGCUGCUUCCAAAACUGCUGUGCUUGAGUGUGGGAGAGGCGCGUGGAAUUGCAGGUGUAGCGGUGAAAUGCGUAGAUAUCUGCAGGAACACCCGUGGCGAAAGCGGCGCGCUGGACCACUACUGACGCUGAGGAACGAAAGCUAGGGGAGCAAACAGG
rnacentral:rRNA from 1 species